rnacentral:rRNA from 1 species
CAGCAGCCGCGGUAAUACAGAGGUUGCGAGCGUUAAUCGGAUUUACUGGGCGUAAAGCGUGCGUAGGCGGCUUCUUAAGUCGGAUGUGAAAUCCCUGAGCUUAACUUAGGAAUUGCAUUCGAUACUGGGAAGCUAGAGUAUGGGAGAGGAUGGUAGAAUUCCAGGUGUAGCGGUGAAAUGCGUAGAGAUCUGGAGGAAUACCGAUGGCGAAGGCAACCAUCUGGCCUAAUACUGACGCUGAGGUACGAAAGCAUGGGGAGCAAACAGGAUUAGAUACCCCGGUAGUCCCUGUCUCUUAUAC